rnacentral:rRNA from 1 species
GAUGAACGCUGGCGGCGUGCCUAAUACAUGCAAGUCGAGCGAACAGACGAGGAGCUUGCUCCUCUGACGUUAGCGGCGGACGGGUGAGUAACACGUGGAUAACCUACCUAUAAGACUGGGAUAACUUCGGGAAACCGGAGCUAAUACCGGAUAAUAUAUUGAACCGCAUGGUUCAAUAGUGAAAGACGGUUUUGCUGUCACUUAUAGAUGGAUCCGCGCCGCAUUAGCUAGUUGGUAAGGUAACGGCUUACCAAGGCAACGAUGCGUAGCCGACCUGAGAGGGUGAUCGGCCACACCGGAACUGAGACACGGUCCAGACUCCUACGGGAGGCAGCAGUAGGGAAUCUUCCGCAAUGGGCGAAAGCUUGACGGAGCAACGCCGCGUGAGUGAUGAAGGUCUUCGGAUCGUAAAACUCUGUUAUUAGGGAAGAACAAAUGUGUAAGUAACGAUGCACGUCUUGACGGUACCUAAUCAGAAAGCCACGGCUAACUACGU